rnacentral:misc_RNA from 1 species
UUCGGUAUCCUGUGUUGCUUACCUAUCGAAAGGAAUCCGACGGUUUCGUUGGUCCCUUUCCGCCCCAUGCCCUCGCGGGUGGUGGGGCGGACGUCAGGCAAGCCUCGUGUUCCCGGCACGCCUCGCCCAGUUGCGUGGCUGCCUAGGCCCACGGGGCGCACUGCCCGUGCUCUCGGAUGCGGAACGUUACGCGCGGGCGUGGGGUCUUUUGGCUCCGUCGGCCCGAGCAACGCAUUUGUCCCUCGACACGAACGACCGUCGAACCCGUCUUGAGCACGCGGCCGUACCGUCGGUCGGGUCUCAUGCGGGCGUCGG